GAUGAACGCUGGCGGCGUGCUUAACACAUGCAAGUCGAACGGAAAGGCUCCUGUUUGCCGGGGUACUCGAGUCGCGAACGGGUGUGUAACACGUGGGUGUUCUGCCCUGCACUUCGGGAUAUGCCUGGGCAACUGCGUCUAAUACCGGAUAGGACGAUGGUUUGGAUGCCAUUCUGGAAAGCUUUUUCGGUGUGGGAUGGGCUCGCGGCCUAUCAGCUUGUUGGUGGGGUAAUGGCCUACCAAAGCGUCGACGGGUAGCCGACAUGGGAGGGUGUACGGCGACAUUAGGACUGAGAGACGGCGCAGACGGCUACGGGAGGCAGCAGUGGAGAAUAUUGCACAGUGGGGGCGAGCGUGAGACAGCGACGCCGGGUGGGGGAAGACGGCCUACGGGUUAUAAACUCCUUUCGCUAGAGACGAAGCGGAAGUGACGGUACCUGGAGAAGAAGCACCGGCUAACUACGUG
rnacentral:rRNA from 1 species